AGAUUUAGUUGAUGGUGGUAAAGUGGAUGCUGAUAAAACAAAAAAAUUAUUAGUGUAGAUGCCGAUGCUGAAGUUACAGAUACUAAGUCUGGAUCUCCUAUAAUGAUAACAUAAGAGAGAAAGGAUAAAGAAGAAAGCCCAAUGAAAUCUGGAGUACAUCUUUCUUU